rnacentral:rRNA from 1 species
AACGAACGCUGGCGGCAUGCCUAACACAUGCAAGUCGAACGAGACCUUCGGGUCUAGUGGCGCACGGGAGCGUAACGCGUAGGAACCUGCCCUUAGGUUCGGAAUAACUCCCCGAAAGGGGUGCUAAUACCGGAUAAUGUCUUCGGACCAAAGAUUUAUCGCCUUUGGAUGGGCCCGCGUUGGAUUAGCUAGUUGGUAGGGUAAAAGCCUACCAAGGCGACGAUCCAUAGCUGGUCUGCGAGGAUGAUCAGUCACACUGGGACUGAGACACGGCCCAGACCCCUGCGGGAGGAGGGAGUGGGGAAUAUUGGACGAUGGGCGAAUGCGUGAUCCAGCAUCGCCGCGUGAGUUAUGAAGGCCUUAGGGUUGUAAAGCGCUUUUAACCGGGAUGAUAAUGACAGUACCGUGAGAAUAAGCGCCGGCUAACUCCGUG